GAAAGAUGGAGUCAUGGACCCACAUCCUCAUGUUGCUGCUGUUCUGGGUGUCUGGUACCAGUGGAGAUAUCGUGAUGACCCAGUCUCCAUCUUCCCUGGCUGUGUCAGUAGGAGAGAAGGUCACCAUCAGCUGCAGGUCCAGUCAGAGUCUUUUAAACACUGGAAAUCAAAAGAACUACUUGUCCUGGUACCAGCAGAAACCAGGGCAAUCCCCUAAGAUGCUGAUCUACUAUGCAUCCACCAGGCACACUGGGGUCCCCGAUCGCUUCACAGGCAGUGGAUCUGGGACAGAUUUCACUCUCAGCAUCAGCAGUGUGCAGGCUGAAGACCUGGCUGUUUAUUACUGUAUGCAGUAUUACAGCUAUCCUCCCACAGGGAGCAAAUUCCAGACCAUGCAAGGCCCUUGGUUGGUGCUUCAUUCUGCAGAGACCAUCUUUGUACCUGGUUAG